GAUGAACGCUGGCGGCGUGCCUAAUACAUGCAAGUCGAGCGAACAGAUGAGGAGCUUGCUCCUCUGACGUUAGCGGCGGACGGGUGAGUAACACGUGGAUAACCUACCUAUAAGACUGGGAUAACUUCGGGAAACCGGAGCUAAUACCGGAUAAUAUAUUGAACCGCAUGGUUCAAUAGUGAAAGACGGUUUUGCUGUCACUUAUAGAUGGAUCCGCGCCGCAUUAGCUAGUUGGUAAGGUAACGGCUUACCAAGGCAACGAUGCGUAGCCGACCUGAGAGGGGGAGCGGCCACACUGGAACUGAGACACGGUCCAGACUCCUACGGGAGGCAGCAGUAGGGAAUCUUCGGAAAUGGGCGAAAGCCUGCCGGAGCAACGCAGGGUGAGUGAUGAAGGGCUUCGGAUCGUAAAACGCUGUUAUUAGGGAAGAACAAAUGUGUAAGUAACGAUGCACGUCUGGACGGUACCGAAACAGAAAGCCCGGGUAACCUACGG
rnacentral:rRNA from 1 species